GAAUCUGAUAAUCAACAGGGUUAAAAGACAGUUGAACACCUGAAGUACAUUAUGAUGAUUUAAAUAAUGUGCAGUUUGCCCAAAAACGUUCGGUCCCUGGCGUAUGUCUUAGAGAUUUCUAUGCGGUAUGCAAUGUGUUAAGGUAGCCAAAUGCCUCGUCAUCUAAUUAGUGACUCGCAUGAAUGAAUGAACGAGAUUC
rnacentral:ncRNA from 1 species